rnacentral:rRNA from 1 species
GACGAACGCUGGCGGCGUGCUUAACACAUGCAAGUCGAACGGUGAAGCUCCAGCUUGCUGGAGUGGAUCAGUGGCGAACGGGUGAGUAACACGUGAGCAACCUGCCCCUGACUCCGGAAUAAGCGCUGGAAACUGCGUCUAAUACAGGAUACGAGAUGGGGCCGCAUGGGCACGCUCUGGAAAGUUUGUCGGUUGGGGAUGGGCUCGCGGCCUAUCAGCUUGUUGGUGAGGUACUGGCUCACCCAGGCGAGGACGGGUAGCCGGCCCGAGGGGGGGACCGGCCCCACUGGGACGGAGACACGGCCCAGCCUCCUCCGGGAGGCAGCAGUGGAGAAUAUUGCACAACGGGCGAAAGCCUGAUGCAGCGCCGCCGCGUGGGGGAUGACGGCCUUCGGGUUGGAAUCCUCUUUCAGCAGGGAAGAAGCGAAAGUGACGGUACCUGCAGAAGAAGCACCGGCUAACUACGUG